rnacentral:rRNA from 1 species
ACGAACGCUGGCGGCGUGCCUAAUACAUGCAAGUCGAACGGUCUUUCUAUGGAAGCUUGCUUCCACUGAGAAGAUAGUGGCGAACGGGUGAGUAACACGUGGGUAACCUGCCCAUAAGAGGGGGAUAACAUCCGGAAACGGGUGCUAAUACCGCAUAGUUUUCUUGAUCGCAUGAUUGAGAAAGGAAAGACGGCCUUUGUGCUGUCGCUUAUGGAUGGACCCGCGGCGUAUUAGUUAGUUGGUGAGGUAACGGCUCACCAAGACGAUGAUACGUAGCCGACCUGAGAGGGUGAUCGGCCACAUUGGGACUGAGACACGGCCCAAACUCCUACGGGAGGCAGCAGUAGGGAAUCUUCCGCAAUGGACGAAAGUCUGACGGAGCAACGCCGCGUGAGUGAAGAAAGGUUUUCGGAUCGUAAAACUCUGUUGUCAGAGAAGAACAAGUUGGAGAGUAACUGCUCCAGCCUUGACGGUAUCUGACCAGAAAGCCACGGCUAACUACGUGCCAGCAGCGGC